rnacentral:rRNA from 1 species
AGAGUUUGAUUUUGGCUCAGAACGAACGCUGGCGGCGUGCCUAACACAUGCAAGUCGAACGAGGAAGGAAUCUUCGGAUUCCUGAGUAGAGUGGCGCACGGGUGAGUAACACGUGGAUAACCUGCCCUAUGAUCUGGGAUAACAUUUCGAAAGAGAUGCUAAUACCGGAUAAGCCUACACAAUCUUCGGAGCGAGUAGGAAAAGAUUUAUCGUCAUUGGAUGAGUCCGCGGACCAUUAACUUGAUGGUGGGGUAAUGGCCUACCAUGGUUACGAUGGUUAACUGGUCUGAGAGGAUGAUCAGUCACACUGGAACUGAGACACGGUCCAGACUCCUACGGGAGGCAGCAGUAGGGAAUAUUGCGCAAUGGAGGAAACUCUGACGCAGCCACGCCACGUGAGUGAGGAAGGCCUUCGGGUUGUAAAGCUCUGUCAGUGGGGAAAAAAGACCCGCAAGGGAGAUGAUGGUACCCACAAAGGAAGCACCGGCUAACUUCGUGCCAGCAGCCGCGGUAAUACGAAGGGUGCAAGCGUUGUUCGGAUUUAUUGGGCGUAAAGCGCGCGCAGGCGGAUUGAUAAGUCAGGUGUGAAAUCUUGGGGCUUAACCCCGAAACUGCGCCUGAAACUGUUAGUCUAGAAUCUUGGAGAGGGAAGUAGAAUUUCGCAUGUAGGGGUAAAAUCCGUAGAGAUGCGAAGGAACACCAGAGGCGAAGGCGACUUCCUGGACAAGUAUUGACGCUGAGGCGCGAAAGCGUGGGUAGCGAACAGGAUUAGAUACCCUGGUAGUCCACGCCGUAAACGAUGAGCACUAGGUGUUGCGGGUAUUGACCCCUGCAGUGCCAAAGCUAACGCAUUAAGUACCCCGCCUGGGGAGUACGGCCGCAAGGCUAAAACUCAAAGGAAUUGACGGGGGCCCGCACAAGCGGUGGAGCAUGUGGUUUAAUUCGACGCAACGCGAAGAACCUUACCUGGGCUUGACAUCCCGAUCGUACCUUUUGGAAACAUUAGGGUCAGCUUGGCUGGAUCGGUGACAGGUGCUGCAUGGCUGUCGUCAGCUCGUGUCGUGAGAUGUUGGGUUAAGUCCCGCAACGAGCGCAACCCUUGUCCUUAGUUGCCAUCAUUUAGUUGGGCACUCUAGGGAGACUGCCGGUGAUAAGCCGGAGGAAGGUGGGGAUGACGUCAAGUCCUCAUGGCCCUUAUAUCCAGGGCUACACACGUGCUACAAUGGCCGGCACAAAGGGCAGCAAUACCGCGAGGUGGAGCUAAUCCCAAAAAGCCGGUCUCAGUUCGGAUUGGAGUCUGCAACUCGACUCCAUGAAGUUGGAAUCGCUAGUAAUCGCGUAUCAGCAUGACGCGGUGAAUACGUUCCCGGGCCUUGUACACACCGCCCGUCACACCACGGGAGUCGAUUGUACCGGAAACCGGUGGGCUAACCUUCGGGAAGCAGCCGUUUAUGGUAUGAUCGGUGACUGGGGUGAAGUCGUAACAAGGUAUCCGUACCGGAAGGUGCGGAUGGAUCACCUCCUU